ensembl:lncRNA
GUUGCAUUGUGUCCCACUCCACCCCCCACAUUCAUAUGUCAAAGUCCAGGUGCCUCAGAAUGUAGCCUUAUUUGGAAAUAGGGUUAUUGCAGGUGUAAUUAGUUAAGAUUAUACUGGAAUAGAGUGGGCCUCUAAACCAUUGUGAUUGUUGCCUAAAAGGGUAUGUCUGGACACAGACAUGCAUAGAGGGAGAAUACCACAUGAAGAGAAAGGCAAAGAUUAGGUGAUUCAGCAGAAGUCACAGGAUGUCAAAGAUUGCCAGCAAAACUACCAGAUGCUAGGAGAGAGGAGGCAUGGAACAGAUUCCUCCCUCCCAACUCUUAGAAGGAACCAGCUCCGCCCACACUUUGAUCUUGGACUUCUGGCCUCCAGAACAGAGAGAAGAUAAAUUUCUAAGUCACCCAGUGUGUGGUAUUUUGCUAUGGCAGACCUAGGAAACUAAUAUACUUGGGGACGCAGAUUCAUGUCAACAGAUAAACAGCCUAUAACUAGUUGCAUCACGCCAGGUCUUCAGUUUUCAUUGCACCACGUGGGAUCUACUUCCAUGACGAGAGAUCGAACCCGGCCCUCUGCACUGGGAGCAUGGAGUCUUAGCCACUGGACCACCAGAGAAGUCUCCAUAUGUCAUCUUUUUUACAUGAAAUAAAUUUCUAGCAUAACAAAAUGUCCUAGGCUCCUCUGGAACUUUUUCAGACCUGAAAUCAAUUGUUUUAUCAAGAAGCCUGGUUCUUUUAGCGGGGAAUGACAUUUAGAAACCAGUAUCUGGGCACUCAACAGGUGUCUUUUACUGAGACUCUCUUUCUCUUUGAAUGUCUAGAAAAUGUCUUCAUUUUGCCCUAAUGCUUGAAUGAGUUUGACUAGUGAAACAAAUUCUAAGUUAGCAAUUCCUUUUCCUCAGCGCUUUGAAAAUAGCAUUGUUGUCUGGCAUGAUAAGAAAUUUGCUGUCCGUCUAAUCGUCUCUUCUGUAUAGUAAUCUUUUCUUCCAUGAUGGCUAUUAAACCUUUUUCUUUAUACUUAUUAUUGUACAAUUUCACUUCAAUGUAACCAGAUGUGAAUUUAUUUUUACUUAUCUUGCUUGAUACUCACCAUGUACGUUUCAUAUGGAGACUCAUAUUUUUCUUCAAUUCUAAAAAACUUUCAACUAUUUUUAUAGCUUUAUUGAGAUAUAAUUUACAUACCAUUAAAUUCACCAAAGUAUGCAAUUCAGUGGUUUUUAGUUUAUUCACAAAGCUAUAUAAUCAUCACCACUAUCUAAGCACAGAAUAUUUUCAACACAGCAAAAAGAAAUCCCAUACGCAUCAGCAGUCCUUUCCCAUUCCUCCCUUCCCCAGUUCCCUAGCAACCAGUAACCUACUUUCUAUCUUGAUAUAUUUGCCUAUUCUGGACAUUACAAAUAAAUUAAAUCAUGUGAUACAUGAGUUUUUCUGUCUUGCCUUUUUCACUUAG